rnacentral:rRNA from 1 species
AUUGAACGCUGGCGGAAUGCUUUACACAUGCAAGUCGAACGGCAGCACGGACUUCGGUCUGGUGGCGAGUGGCGAACGGGUGAGUAAUGUAUCGGAACGUGCCCAGUCGUGGGGGAUAACGUAGUGAAAAUUACGCUAAUACCGCAUACGAUCUAUGGAUGAAAGCGGGGGAUCGCAAGACCUCGCGCGAUUGGAGCGGCCGAUAUCAGAUUAGGUAGUUGGUGGGGUAAAGGCCCACCAAGCCAACGAUCUGUAGCUGGUCUGAGAGGACGACCAGCCACACUGGAACUGGGACACGGUCCAGACUCCUACGGGAGGCAGCAGUGGGGAAUUUUGGACAACGGGCGAAAGCCUGAUCCAGCCAUUCCGCGUGCAGGAUGAAGGCCCUCGGGUUGUAAACUGCUUUUGUACAGAACGAAAAGGUUUCUACUAAUACUAGGAGCUCAUAACGGUACUGUAAGAAUAAGCACCGGCUAACUACGUGCCAGCCGCCGCAGUAA